GGAUUGUUCACCCACCAAUAGGGAACGUGAGCUGGGUUUAGACCGUCGAAAGACAGGUUAGUUUUACCCUAUUGAUGACAAUGUCACAAUAGUAAUUCAACCUAGUACGAGAGGAACCGUUGAUUCGCACAAUUGGUCUUCGCACUUGGUUGAAAAGCCAAUGGUGCGAAUCUAUCGUGCGCAAGAUUAUGACUGAAUGCCUCUAAGUCAGAAUUUGGGCUAAAAGUGACGCAUGCGCCCGCUGCUCACUUGCUGACCCCCAGUAGGGGUUGUCUGGCUCCCAAAGGCACGUGUUGUUGGUGAAGCUCGCGUGGCGGAUGAGCCACGCGGGCUACCUUGAAGUACAAUUCCUAUCACGAGUGGUGGGUAGAAUCCUUCGCAGAUGACUUAAAUACGCGACUGGGUAUUGUCAGUGGCAGAGUGGUCUUGCUACUACGAAUCCACUGAGAUUUAGCCUUGCGUCGCUCCGAUUCGUCCCUCCC
rnacentral:rRNA from 1 species